GAUGAACGCUGGCGGCGUGCCUAAUACAUGCAAGUAGAACGCUGAAGGAAGGAGCUUGCUCUUUCCGGAUGAGUUGCGAACGGGUGAGUAACGCGUAGGUAACCUGCCUGGUAGCGGGGGAUAACUAUUGGAAACGAUAGCUAAUACCGCAUAACAGUAGAUGUUGCAUGAUAUCUACUUAAAAGGUGCAAUUGCACCACUACCAGAUGGACCUGCGUUGUAUUAGCUAGUUGGUGAGGUAACGGCACACCAAGGCGACGAUACAUAGCCGACCUGAGAGGGUGAUCGGCCACACUAGGACUGAGACACGGCCCAGAAUCCUACGGGAGGCAGCAGGAGGGAAUCUUCGGCAAUGGACGGAAGUCUGACCGAGCAACGCCGCGGGAGUGAAGAAGGGUUUCGGAUCGUAAAGCUCGGUUGUAAGAGAAGAACGAGUGUGAGAGUGGAAAGUUCACACUGUGACGGUAUCUUACCAGAAAGGGACGGCUAACUACGUG
rnacentral:rRNA from 1 species